ensembl:lncRNA
GUGAAUAUGCCCUUAAUGGGACUAGGAUCUUGGCAGCUGUAAUCAAAUUAAGAUUAGGUCAUACUGGAUUAUGGUGGGCCCCAACCCAAUGACCCAUGUCCCCAUAAAAUGAGGGAAAUUCGGACAUAGGCACCCGGAGAGGAGAAUGCCACGUUAAGAGAGAGAGACACACAGGGAAGACAGGCAUGGGAAAAGGAGGGAUGUAUCAGUAUGAGGAAUCCGCAAAUCAAAGAUUGUAAGCAUUGCCAGCAAUCUCCAGAAGUUAGGAAGAGGCAAGGCAAGAUAAUUCUCUAGAAGCUUCAAGGGGAGCAUGGCCCUGCCCAUGCUUUGAUUUUGGACUUCUGGCCUCCAGAACUGUGAGAGAAGACAUUUCUGCUGUUUCAAGCCACUCUUUUUGUGGUACUUUGUUAUGUCAGCCCUAGGAAACCAAUAGAGUAGGUGAUGAAUAAAUGUCUGCUGAGUGAUUAAAUGAGCGAAUGGAGAAAUGAACGAGUGAAUGAAUGAAAACACCAAGUCCAAAGGGGUUCAGAGGCGGGCUGUGGGUGAACUCAGAUGCACUGAGACAGCGCAGAGGCAGCGUCUGUGAAGGAGGCAGGUCCUGAGAGCUCACUGAGAGUGACACUGGGACACCUGCCCCUUUUCUUUCUCAACCGCCCACUCAUAAUCUUACAAGAAGGUCAGCCCCAGGGCAGAAGAUGCAGAGAUGUAGAAUUAUGCAAUAUUGGGCGUGACAGUGGCUCUGCUACCUUAGGCUGUGUGGGGAAGAAGUUUCCCAUGUCAUGUUUGGAACUCUCAAGGCAGAAUCGCCACAUGAGUGACACAGGGUAAUUGUUGCUGUGGGCUAGGGCGUGGCGAUGAUUGUUGCUGGCCCGGGCGUUAUGGCCGAGGGUGAGUGGACAGGACUCAGGGACAAACAAGGGUCUGAUCCACCCUCAAAAAGCACUAAGAGCAGACAAGGAAGGCCCAGAAAUUGGCGAGGCUGGUGUGGGCUGGCUAUGCUAUGAGGUGAAUAUGGCCAUUCCCUUCACAAGAGGAGAACAUGGAGGUCAAAUUGUCCGCCGCAGGUCACUCAGCCAGUGAAGCAUAAAGCUGUAAUUUGAACCCACACUCGUCUGACUCCAAGUAGCUCUUGACCAUCAACACAAUAUGUGGGAAAUGUUCUGUCUUACGGAACUUUGGAGCCUUUGUUCUCAAAGCAAAGCUGAAGAUCAAGACCACCUCCCAGGCCGUCAGGUGAGAUGAUGCACCUGCAGUAACCCUCAACGGGGGUGAGAGUCCUACAGUUCCUAUAAUAACCCUGUGCCUUGGUGCCUCGGCCACAGUUGAGCAUCCAGAGGGAUCACCUGAACCAGGCCAGGGCCAUCGCCUCCCCUGGUAGGGAACUUGAACCUUGAAGAGAACAAGUCAGGUGCUAAGAAUGGCUGUGCUGAGCCCCUCUGCGGGCAGCGCUCUGGAAGGAGCCUGGACAGCUGAGGCUUCCAACCUGGCCAUUUGCCUGUUUCCUCUUGGACCUUCCCUCCUGUGCCACAUGGCAGGGAACUGCGCAUGGCAGCCUCCGUCACCCGCGGCCUCUGGGUGCCUCCCGACAGUGGGAAGCACUGGCAGAAGACCGGUGAGCAGAAGGAAGGAAGAGUCCAGGCAUUUUGCCCCACUUCCUGUUUCUGUGAUGUCCUCAGCCAUGGCCUUGUGUCUCGUGUCGCCAGUUUCAGUGCCAAUGAAGAGUAACCCUCUCACCCCGUUGUCCCAGCGUCUGACGGGACAGCCCCACCAUGGUUCUGGCUUCUGCUGCAGUGUCCCCACUUCUGAUUUUGAAUAUCAGCACCUCUCCCCAUUUUUCCGGGAGAGGCCGACUUCCUGCUAUUGCUGAUGUGGGCGGCCUCAUGGUCCUCUGGACUCUAAGCUAUUCCGUCACUCGAAUUACCACUUCCCUGUAUCAAAUACCAAAAGUAAACUACUUUUCUACUACUCUCUGCUCUCCAUACUCUG